GUUUGGGUGUGUUGAAACAAAGGCAUGCGCUGAGGUCUUAUAUCAUUGCAAGUUUCAUGUUUUUCUUUCCAAGAAAAAGGAACUGAGCAGCAGAUGGACUGAUGCGGAAAGUCUGCUUUUGUACAUUAAAUGUGUGAGUCUGAACUUUAUUCCAACUCCUCCUUUUCACUGAAAGUAUUCAUUUUAUGUCACAGGGUUUGCAGUCUCAAAUGGCCUUUAAAUAGAGUAACCAAUGUUUAUUGUUAUGUGCACUGCCAAGUAUCAUGUGUAAUCAUUUCUGUUUGGUUUCUAUAUGAAAUCUUAUGUAAAACCUCAAUGUGUUUGUUUUACAUAACAGGACAGUAUGUGCUCAAUAUUGUUAGCAAGUGCUGAGGAUUCAGUUUAUGUAACUAGCAGGUCACUCUUAACUUUAGGAAAGUGUGGCAUCUCUGUUGCUGUUCCAGCAUUUCUUCUGCACGUAAAGUGAGAACAUGUGUCUGCUUUAACCCUAUCAGCCCUGUCAGGUUUUGUUCAGUUACACCUGAUUGUCUCUACAAAAGUCUAUUGUCAGUUUACUUUUAACUUGUAAUCCCUCUGUCUGAUUCUGUAAUUCACAGAAUGUUCUUCUAAGGGAGGGAAAAAAAACUCCACAGCACGGCUUAAAAUAGCUACGGCUGUGCUGUCUAUGAAAAGCUACAAAAAUGAGGGAAAAGCAGGAAGGCACUGAAUCUAAACCCCACUUUUCUAGCAGCCAUUUUUAGUUUGUGAAUAGAACGGAUGGAAUUGUAAUCGACUGGAAUGAUGAUCCUUAGAUCUGUGAAGACCCCUUUCCAGAUUUUUCACAGCUUUAACUGGGUAUUGUGUAUUUACUGGGUGUGAGCUGUCAGACGACUGAUGACUUUUUUAACUGAAUGAUGUCAUGUAAAACAGUGAGCCAAACAGGUUCAACCCUGCAGUAUGGCCCUAUGUGCUCCACAACGGAGAAGCCCACCCAGUGGGUUCGCUAACUGUAACAAACAUAUUCACAUUCCUACUUUAAGGAAAACUGGCUAUGUGAUUUGUUUUUUGUUAUUAGUUCAUAAUAAACUUUAAUGACUUAAAAGUAACAACGGUACAGAUAAUGUGGCUUAUCCUGGACUAUGGAAUAACAUCUAUAGUUUUUUGUAAUAGGAGAAUUAUUAGGUCAAUCAUUGAGCUACAAGUCGAUUAUAAUAUUCAAAGAUGCACACCUUAAUAUAUUUAUUUGGUUGUGCCCUGACGAUUGGAACUCGCUUACCAGUUGUAAUUCAAUUACAUUCAAUUGGCAAGCUAGCAAAGGACAAAAUGGGUGGAUGUUUGUACAUUCCAUUUUUAAUACUUGCUAAGAAAAAAGUUUUUCCAGAAUUUUGAAAAAAUGUUCGAAAAAAAUGUUUUUCCCCAAUGUUACAAUUUUCCAACAUUUUGUAAAUUUUUGAAUCUCAAAUGUAGCCAGCAAUUUCAUAAAGAAAGCAAGUCUCUUCCUGGAAUUAUUUCCUUUCCAACAAUAAAACUUGCCACCUUGAAAAAGAAGGAUUGUUCAUUUGAGUAAUUACUUUAACAAGUUCAGAAGCAUAACCCAACACAAGGCAUUAAAAUUGUCCUGAUUUGACCUGUUUAUCAGUAGCUGUACUGUAGUUAGGUGUAAGUGUGCUUCAAAGAUAAUGAGCUCUUGGGAAAGCACCAGUAGGGUUCCUCAAAUUUAACCCUCUGUCCUUGAGAUAAACCACUGAUUUAGAUAUAUUGUGUGUGUACAUUCAUAACCUAAAAUGAUAGCGUGACCAAUUAAACAUAUUACUAGAUACUGCAAAAUUAGCUCCUGUGGGCCACUGGUAAGUAGAUCAUAGCAAUGACAACAGAAGGCCUGUAAAGAGAGGAAACAAGUAGGCAGAAAAAGCACACAAAUAUUUACUAGCCAGUACGGAGUUAAACAUAGAUAAAGAAAUUUCUAAAAACAAAGACUAACAAAGACAAGUAAACAGAAACUGCAAUGUUGGAGAUCCAAAAAAGUAAAGCAAAUAAAGCUGUCAACAAUACCUUAUUGUAACAACCUGUAUGAUGAUCAUUGUUUAUUUUAUUCAAUAAACCAUAUUUGAUUGGA